rnacentral:lncRNA from 1 species
ACCCGAUGAAGAAUCUAUUCAAAAUGAUCGAUAUAACAUAAUAAAUAAAAACCUACUGAAAAGACUUAGGUGCACUUUUAGCAAUGGCAUAUGGGUUAGGCAGCCUAGAAGGACUGAUCCAAUUCCUCCACCAAUAGAACACCCCGAAACACCAAUUCUUAUGGGAAAUGAAUCUCCUCCUCCUAGUUCCUUUGGCGCAGCACCUUCAGCU